rnacentral:lncRNA from 1 species
AGUUAGAAGUUAAUAUUUUUAACAAACCAUGAUCACAUAUGUAAAGUUUUAAGUUUAUAUUUCAUAAAUAGUAUAAAUAACCAAAUGAAGAUAUUUCUCUUAGAUGAAGGAUAAUUAUUUUUUAGUCUCCGUAAUAAACCUUAGAGCAAUUUAAAGAGACUUUUAACCUCUUUGUAUCCAAAAAUAAUACUUGGAUUUCAAGAAUUGUGUAUUGAGUUGUGUAAUUUAAAAGUCUACUCUGUUUUAGGUCAAUAUUUAGGUACCUUGAUCAACUAAGAUAAGCCUGAAAUAGGACGUGGAGGAAGGGAGUCUAUUUAAACCCUACCUGUCUGUCAUAGUUUGUUGAUUUUGACAGUUGUCAAUCAUACUGAUAUUCUGUCAGUGCUCUUACUGAGUAAAAUGACUAAAACUAGCCUGCUAAUUGACAAAAGAUACAACAAGAAUUUUACACAAUUCAUUUGUGCAUAUUUCAAAAGACUUGAAAAGUAUUGUAAACUAUGUUUCAGUGUGUAUAGAGUUAGUGGUUAACAUGGCUACAUCUUAGUGGUGAGAAGAUGACAGAGAAAAACUAAACAAUUGUAUCAAUCAUUCAAACAAAACAAUAGAAAAUGAUUUUUUAAUAUAUAUACAAAACCGUUGGUUCUCCUGUUUAAGGAUGUAUUCUUCUGACUUUUCAGUCUCGUUGAAAUCUCGUUCUUGAAUUAUUUCCAAAACAUGUGAUACAAGUGGAAAAUAUCAAUGAAAUUUAAAAAUAUUAUAAUCAAACAUAACUAUGUGAAAAAAGUUAUGUAUUUACAAUGAAUGGUUUUUGAGUAAUCCAGUUUUUAAAUUUUACGACCAAUCAAGUCA